rnacentral:tRNA from 1 species
GACCGCUUAGCUCAGUGGUAGAGCGCUUCGUUCACAUCGAAGAGGCCAGGGGUUCGAAACCCUUAGCGGUCA